rnacentral:rRNA from 1 species
AGGACGAACGCUGGCGGCGUGCCUAACACAUGCAAGUGGAGCGACGAACCAGGCUUCGGCCUGGGGCAAAGCCGCGAACGGGUGAGUAACACGUGGGUAACCUGCCCUGAUGAUUGGGACAACCCGAGGAAACUCGGGCUAAUACCAAAUGUGACCUCCGGCCAUAAGGCCGCUGGGGAAAGGAAGCUUCGGCCUCCGCAUCGGGAUGGGCCCGCGGCCCAUUAGCUUGUUGGUGG